rnacentral:rRNA from 1 species
UACGUAGGGUGCAAGCGUUAAUCGGAAUUACUGGGCGUAAAGCGUGCGCAGGCGGUUAUGUAAGACAGAUGUGAAAUGCCCGGGCUUAACCUGGGAACUGCAUUUGUGACUGCAUGGCUAGAGUUUGGCAGAGGGGGGUAGAAUUCCACGUGUAGCAGUGAAAUGCGUAGAGAUGCGGAGGAACACCGAUGGCGAAGGCAGCCCCCUGGGCUAACACUGACGCUCAGGCACGAAAGCGUGGGGAGCAAACGA